GUCUAUGGCCAUACCACCCUGAACGCGCCCGAUCUCGUCUGAUCUCGGAAGCUAAGCAGGGUCGGGCCUGGUUAGUACUUGGAUGGGAGACCGAAUAAUGUCCCUACAAACUCUGGUCC
rnacentral:rRNA from 1 species